AUUCCAGCUCCAAUAGCGUAUACUAAAGUUGUUGCAGUUAAAAAGCUCGUAGUUGAAUUUCUGGUCUUGGACAGCGGUCUGCCUCAAACGAGGUACGCACCAUCUAUCCGAGUCCAUCCUCGGGGAAAACAUGUCUGUGAUUCAGUUCAUGGGCAUGGGAUCCUCGUCAUUUACUGUGAGCAAAAUAGAGUGUUCAAAGCAGGCUUAUGCCGUUGAAUAUUUUAGCAUGGAAUAAUAAGAUAGGACUUUGGUGGUCUAUUUUGUUGGUUUGCACACCAAGGUAAUGAUUAAUAGGGACAGUUGGGGGUAUCCGUAUUUCGUAGUCAGAGGUGAAAUUCUUGGAUUUACGAAAGACGAACUACUGCGAAAGCAUUUACCAAGGAUGUUUUCAUCG
rnacentral:rRNA from 1 species